rnacentral:rRNA from 1 species
CGGACGGGUGAGUAAUGUCUGGGAAACUGCCUGAUGGGAGGGGGUAACUACUGGAAACGGUAGCUAAUACCGCAUAACGUCGCAAGACCAAAGAGGGGGACCUUCGGGCCUCUUGCCAUCGGAUGUGCCCAGAUGGGAUUAGCUAGUAGGUGGGGUAACGGCUCACCUAGGCGACGAUCCCUAGCUGGUCUGAGAGGAUGACCAGCCACACUGGAACUGAGACACGGUCCAG